AUUGAACGCUGGCGGCAGGCCUAACACAUGCAAGUCGAGCGGCAGCGGAAAGUAGCUUGCUACUUUGCCGGCGAGCGGCGGACGGGUGAGUAAUGUCUGGGAAACUGCCUGAUGGAGGGGGAUAACUACUGGAAACGGUAGCUAAUACCGCAUAACGUCGCAAGACCAAAGAGGGGGACCUUCGGGCCUCUUGCCAUCAGAUGUGCCCAGAUGGGAUUAGCUAGUAGGUGGGGUAACGGCUCACCUAGGCGACGAUCCCUAGCUGGUCUGAGAGGAGGACCAGCCACACUGGAACUGAGACACGGUCCAGACUCCUACGGGAGGCAGCAGUGGGGAAUAUUGCACAAUGGGCGCAAGCCUGAUGCAGCCAUGCCGCGUGUAUGAAGAAGGCCUUCGGGUUGUAAAGUACUUUCAGCGGGGAGGAAGGUGUUGAGGUUAAUAACCUCAGCAAUUGACGUUACCCGCAGAAGAAGCACCGGCUAACUCCGUGCAGCAGCCGCCGUAAAAC
rnacentral:rRNA from 1 species